GAUGAACGCUGACAGCAUGCUUAACACAUGCAAGUCUUUGGCGAAGCUGUGCUUGCACAGCCUAGCCAAGGCGGACGGGUGAGUAACGUGUAAGGAACUUGCCCUGCAGUCAGGGAUAACAGACGGAAAAGACUGAUAAGACCCGGUAACUUCAGUCGCACUCAUGUUUUGCUGCUUGAAAAGGGGGGCUGCAGGCGAGCCCUGAGUGCUGUUGGCUUGUUGCAGGGGUAACGGCCCACCAAGGCGACGAUAGGUGGCCGGCCUGAGAGGGGGGACGGCCACAAGGGGACUGAGAUACGGCCCUUACUCGUAGGGGAGGCAGCAGUGGGGAAUAUUGGACAAGGGGGGCAACCCUGAGCCAGGAAUUCUGUGUGCACGAUGAAGGUUUUAGGAUUGGAAAGUGCUUUCAGCAGGGAAGAAAAAAAUGACGGUUACUUCAGAAGAAGCGACGGCUAAAUACGUG
rnacentral:rRNA from 1 species